AUGGCUAAUGUGCUGAGAAGAAUGGAUAGCGAUGUGCCAGCUAUGGGAUUCCUCCAUGGUUGUAUGUUGGAUGCAAAAAAGGAAAUUUCAGUGCUGUUUGAUAAUGAUGAGAGUCGCUUCAAAUGCGUUAUUGAUAUCAUUGACAAGAGAUGGGAUAGCAAACUCAAGUAGCCGCUACAUUUGGCUGGAUACUUUCUGAACCCCUUCUAUUAUUAUCCAAACAAAACUGCAAUCGAGAACGAUGGAUCAUUUAGAGCAGUCGUGAUCCAUAGAAUUACAAAGUUGGUUCAACAUCAAAAAACUCAAGAAGAGACUAUUGAUGAACUCGACAAAUACCAAGAGGAGGAGGACUCCUUUGGAAUGGACAUUGCCGUACAGCAGAGAAGAAGGAAAACCUUUGAUCCAUGUAAAGCGUUGUUGCUGAAAUCUUGUGAUGUUAUUUAA
rnacentral:rRNA from 1 species